rnacentral:rRNA from 1 species
ACAUCCAGAGAACUUAGCAGAGAUGCUUUGGUGCCUUCGGGAACUCUGAGACAGGUGCUGCAUGGCUGUCGUCAGCUCGUGUUGUGAAAUGUUGGGUUAAGUCCCGNAACGAGCGCAACCCCUAUCCUUUGUUGCCAGCGAUUCGGUCGGGAACUCAAAGGAGACUGCCGGUGAUAAACCGGAGGAAGGUGGGGAUGACGUCAAGUCAUCAUGGCCCUUACGAGUAGGGCUACACACGUGCUACAAUGGCGCAUACAAAGAGAAGCGACCUCGCGAGAGCAAGCGGACCUCAUAAAGUGCGUCGUAGUCCGGAUUGGAGUCUGCAACCCGACUCCAUGAAGUCGGAAUCGCUAGUAAUCGUAGAUCAGAAUGCUACGGUGAAUACGUUCCCGGGCCUUGUACACACCGCCCGUCACACCAUGGGAGUGGGUUGCAAAAGAAGUAGAUAGCUUAACCUUCGGGAGGGCGUUUACCACUUUGUGAUUCAUGACUGGGGUGAAGUCGUAACAAGGUAGGCGUAGCGAG